UAGGUCCCAAGGGUAUGGCUGUUCGCCAUUUAAAGUGGUACGCGAGCUGGGUUUAGAACGUCGUGAGACAGUUCGGUCCCUAUCUGCCGUGGGCGCUGGAGAACUGAGGGGGGCUGCUCCUAGUACGAGAGGACCGGAGUGGACGCAUCACUGGUGUUCGGGUUGUCAUGCCAAUGGCACUGCCCGGUAGCUAAAUGCGGAAGAGAUAAGUGCUGAAAGCAUCUAAGCACGAAACUUGCCCCGAGAUGAGUUCUCCCUGAGACUUAGAGUCUCCUGAAGGAACGUUGAAGACGACGACGUUGAUAGGCCGGGUGUGUAAGCGCAGCGAUGCGUUGAGCUAACCGGUACUAAUGAACCGUGAGGCUUAACCUUACAACGCCGAAG
rnacentral:rRNA from 1 species